rnacentral:rRNA from 1 species
GACGAACGCUGGCGGCGUGCCUAAUACAUGCAAGUCGAGCGGAUUUGUUCCUUCGGGGAUAAGUUAGCGGCGGACGGGUGAGUAACACGUAGGUAACCUGCCUAUAAGGCCGGGAUAACUAUCGGAAACGAUAGCUAAGACCGGAUAUCUGGUUUUCUCGCAUGAGAGAAUCAUGAAACACGGAGCAAUCUGUGGCUUAUAGAUGGGCCUGCGGCGCAUUAGCUAGUUGGUAGGGUAACGGCCUACCAAGGCGACAAUACGUAGCCGAACUGAGAGGUUGAUCGGCACAUUGGGACUGAGACACGGCCCAAACUCCUACGGGAGGCAGCAGUAGGGAAUCUUCCACAAUGGACGAAAGUCUGAUGGAGCAACGCCGCGUGAGUGAAGAAGGUUUUCGGAUCGUAAAACUCUGUUGUCAGAGAAGAACGUGUGCGAGAGUAACUGCUCGUGCAGUGACGGUAUCUGGCCAGAAAGCCACGGCUAACUACGUGCCAGCCGCCGCCGUAA